rnacentral:rRNA from 1 species
GCUUACGGCCACACCGCCUGGUUCACGCCCGAUCUCGUUUGAUCUCGGAAGAUAAGAUAGGUUGGGCCUGGUUAGUACUUGGAUGGGAGACCGCCUGGGAAUACCAGGUGCUGUAAAGC